rnacentral:sRNA from 1 species
CAGACUUAACCCGAUAGAACUAGACAGAAAGAAACAGGAGUUCUGGAAAGGAUUAAAGAAAUUCUUGAAACAGGGAGAAGUACCUUAUGGUUGUUCUGGGUUUGCAUGUGUGUAUACACACUUGGCAGGUAAUUACCGUUGGAUGCAUAAGGGAACCAAAGAGUCUGAGGAGUAUUAUUCAUAUGUUCAGAGGUGUAAACGGAAUCCCAACUGUGUCUUUGAUAGGAAGUAUGGGUGGAAAAUCUUGGAACCGCUGUUUGACCGGUGGCUCUACUCAGGUCAAUAUAUAUAAUUAAAGGUUUCGAAUUCACGGUAAUGACGUCUGUGUCACGGUGCUGUUGCUUAACCACCAAAUAAACAACACCAAGUCAC